rnacentral:misc_RNA from 1 species
GGAGAGAAAAAUCUGUAUAUUCUUAUGUAUCAAUGAGUUUGUGCAUAUGCCUAUUUAUAUAUAAGAUCAUAACUUUACAAGGAAACCUAAUUUAAUGGAAAUUAAUAUAAAUAGGAAACAAGAUAUACAUAAAGAGAAAGAAAUAAUAAUCCCCUUUCAUUAAGGAGGAAGAUAUAAUAAUCCUUAAUGUAGGGAUUGAGAUUCCAAUACUCCCCCUCAAGG